rnacentral:rRNA from 1 species
UACGAAGGGGGCUAGCGUUGUUCGGAAUCACUGGGCGUAAAGCGUAUGUAGGCGGAUCUUUAAGUCAGGGGUGAAAUCCCGAGGCUCAACCUCGGAACUGCCUUUGAUACUGGGGAUCUCGAGUCCGGGAGAGGUGAGUGGAACUGCGAGUGUAGAGGUGAAAUUCGUAGAUAUUCGCAAGAACACCAGUGGCGAAGGCGGCUCACUGGCCCGGAACUGACGCUGAGGUGCGAAAGCGUGGGGAGCAAACAGG